GGGAAGUGGAUGAUCAGUUCUCACAGGCAGAGCAGGCUGCGCAGUGCCGCGGGAAGCCAUCAGAGGGUUUUGUGCUGAAGCGUGGUGCGGUCUGAUGUUUUACGGCGUCCUUGGUGAGAGUGGUUGGACGGUGGGCAAGUGUGGCUGCUGACUGGCCAGUUAGGGGCCAGUGCUGCAGCACAGGUGGCUUGGAACCAGGCAGUGGUGGUGACAGAGGGAAGGAGUAGAGUCUAAAUGUAUCUUGAAGGUGGCGCUAACAGAAUUGGCCAACAUGACAAGAGAAGAGUCCAGAAUGACUCCUAAGUCUUUUGGCCUGGGCGGCUGAUGGGUGGAGUUGCUGUUUCUUUGAACACGGAAGUCUGUGGGAGCAGCAGGUUUCCGGCUGAAGAGGAGCUCAGGGUGGGUGUGUUGCUGGAGCUGUUGUCUGCGUCGGUAGGAGUGCUGGGUGGGAGUGCUGGGUGCACAGUUGGAUGUGGGAGAUAGUCUCCCACCAGCAGCUUGUUUGGGUGGCAUGAGUGUCCAUGCUGUAUCCCUGUCUUUCAAACUCCCAAAGCAGAAGCAUCACAUUCCAGGGAACUUGUUCCAUCUAUCCUAGCCCCCUCCUUGUCUAGGAGGGUCCACUUCAUGCUCCGGUCUCAGGUCUCC
rnacentral:lncRNA from 1 species